rnacentral:rRNA from 1 species
CUCGUAGUUGAACCUUGGGCCUGGCUGGCCGGUCCGCCUCACCGCGUGUACUGGUCCGGCCGGGCCUUUCCCUCUGUGGAACCCCAUGCCCUUCACUGGGUGUGGCGGGGAAACAGGACUUUUACUGUGAAAAAAUUAGAGUGCUCCAGGCAGGCCUAUGCUCGAAUACAUUAGCAUGGAAUAAUAGAAUAGGACGUGUGGUUCUAUUUUGUUGGUUUCUAGGACCGCCGUAAUGAUUAAUAGGGACAGUCGGGGGCAUCAGUAUUCAAUUGUCAGAGGUGAAAUUCUUGGAUUUAUUGAAGACUAACUACUGCGAAAGCAUUUGCCAAGGAUGUUUUCAUUAAUCAGGAACGAAAGUUAGGGGAUCGAAGACGAUCAGAUACCGUCGUAGUCUUAACCAUAAACUAUGCCGACUAGGGAUCGGACGGUGUUAUUUUUUGACCCGUUCGGCACCUUACGAGAAAUCAAAGUGCUUGGGCUCCAGGGGGAGUAUGGUCGCAAGGCUGAAACUUAAAGAAAUUGACGGAAGGGCACCACCAGGGGUGGAGCCUGCGGCUUAAUUUGACUCAACACGGGGAAACUCACCAGGUCCAGACACAAUAAGGAUUGA